rnacentral:rRNA from 1 species
AAUAGGUUGCCAAGCCGCGAGGCGGAGCCAAUCCACAAAAGCCGGCCUCAGUUCAGAUUGUAGGCUGCAACUCGCCUGCAUGAAGAUGGAGUUGCUAGUAACCGCAGGUCAGCAAUACUGCGGUGAAUACGUUCCCGGGUCUU